GACGAACGCUGGCGGCGUGCUUAACACAUGCAAGUCGAACGAAAAGAGGGAAAGAGCUUGCUCUUUCCGGAAUUGAGUGGCAAACGGGUGAGUAACACGUAAACAACCUGCCUUCAGGAUGGGGACAACAGACGGAAACGACUGCUAAUACCGAAUAAGUUCCAAGGGCCGCAUGGCCCAUGGAAGAAAAGGUGGCCUCUACCUGUAAGCUAUCGCCUGAAGAGGGGUUUGCGUCUGAUUAGCUGGUUGGCGGGGUAACGGCCCACCAAGGCGACGAUCAGUAGCCGGUCUGAGAGGAUGAACGGCCACACUGGAACUGAGACACGGUCCAGACUCCUACGGGAGGCAGCAGUGGGGAAUCUUCCGCAAUGGGCGAAAGCCUGACGGAGCAACGCCGCGUGAGUGAGGACGGCCUUCGGGUUGUAAAACUCUGUGAUCCGGGACGAAAAGGCAGAGUGCGAAGAACAAACUGCAUUGACGGUACCGGAAAAGCAAGCCACGGCUAACUACGUG
rnacentral:rRNA from 1 species